rnacentral:misc_RNA from 1 species
AGUCGUAACAAGGUUUCCGUAGGUGAACCUGCGGAAGGAUCAUUACCUAGAGUUGCGGGCUUUGCCUGCCAUCUCUUACCCAUGUCUUUUGAGUACCUUCGUUUCCUCGGCGGGUCCGCCCGCCGAUUGGACACAUUUAAACCCUUUGUAGUUGCAAUCAGCGUCUGAAAAAACUUAAUAGUUACAACUUUCAACAACGGAUCUCUUGGUUCUGGCAUCGAUGAAGAACGCAGCGAAAUGCGAUAAGUAGUGUGAAUUGCAGAAUUCAGUGAAUCAUCGAAUCUUUGAACGCACAUUGCGCCCCUUGGUAUUCCAUGGGGCAUGCCUGUUCGAGCGUCAUUUGUACCUUCAAGCUCUGCUUGGUGUUGGGUGUUUGUCUCGCCUCUGCGCGCAGACUCGCCUCAAAACAAUUGGCAGCCGGCGUAUUGAUUUCGGAGCGCAGUACAUCUCGCGCUUUGCACUCAUAACGACGACGUCCAAAAGUACAUUUUUUACACUCUUGACCUCGGAUCAGGUAGGGAUACCCGCUGAACCUAAGCAUAUCA